rnacentral:rRNA from 1 species
AACGAACGCUGGCGGCAUGCCUAACACAUGCAAGUCGAACGAGACCUUCGGGUCUAGUGGCGCACGGGUGCGUAACGCGUGGGAACCUGCCCUUAGGUUCGGAAUAACUCCCCGAAAGGGGUGCUAAUACCGGAUAAUGUCUUCGGACCAAAGAUUUAUCGCCUUUGGAUGGGCCCGCGUUGGAUUAGCUAGUUGGUAGGGUAAAAGCCUACCAAGGCGACGAUCCAUAGCUGGUCUGAGAGGAUGAUCAGCCACACUGGGACUGAGACACGGCCCAGACCCAUACGGAGGCAACAAUGGGGAAUAUUGGACAAUGGGCGAAAGCCUGAUCCAGCAAUGCCGCGUGAGUGAUGAAGGCCUUAGGGUUGUAAAGCUCUUUUACCCGGGAUGAUAAUGACAGUACCGUGAGAAUAAGCUCCGGCUAACUCCGUG